rnacentral:rRNA from 1 species
UACAGAGGUCUCAAGCGUUGUUCGGAUUCAUUGGGCGUAAAGGGUGCGUAGGUGGCGCCAUAAGUCAGGUGUGAAAUCUCGGGGCUUAACUCCGAAACUGCAUUUGAUACUGUGGUGCUUGAGGACUGGAGAGGAGACUGGAAUUCACGGUGUAGCAGUGAAAUGCGUAGAUAUCGUGAGGAAGACCAGUGGCGAAGGCGGGUCUCUGGACAGUUCCUGACACUGAGGCACGAAGGCCAGGGGGAGCAAAACCGGG